rnacentral:tRNA from 1 species
GCGGGCGUGGCGGAAUGGUAGACGCCGGGGACUUAAAAUCCCCUGGGCCUUGCCCGUGCGGGUUCGAAUCCCGCCGCCCGCACCA